UUAAACAUACAACAACCCUGUGAUCCCGGCCAUGAAAAGCCUUCAACAACACAGUGAUUAUUCCCAUUUACCACCUUGAUUAGCACUGAAUAGCCUGGCAACUUCAAGGCCUGGCUGCUUCCUGCCUGGGGGAAUCCUUUGUUGGGAAGUGUUAGCUGGCCCUGAUUGUCUCCUGUCUUCUGAGUGUGGUUCUUUAUUUACUGUGCUGAUUUUAGAUAAUAAAGAACAACACUCAGAAAACAGGGGAAUUCCAGGCACAAAACAAUCAGGGCCAGCUAACACUGCCUAACCAAGGAUUCCCCAGGCAGAAAGCAAUCAGGCUUUGAAGCUGCAUGGCCAUUCAAUGUUAAUCAAGGUGGCCAAUUGCAACAUUCACACUUGCCUCAAACAGACAAGAGUUCUUUCUCCCACCCUGGACAUUAUUCCACAGAGAUAGAUGAUGAGAGAGAGAGAGAGAGAGAGAGAGAGAGAGAGAGAGAGAGAGAGAGAGAGAGAUUGGGAUUGAGAGAGAGAGAGAAAUCCGUUUGCCUAGUUUCCAACAGACCUCACAACCUUUGAGGAUGCCAGCCAUAGAGGUUGGCAAAACGUCAGACGAGAAUGCUUCUGGAACAUGGCCAUAGAGCCCAGAAAACUCACAGUAACCCACUAAAUAGUGUUAAUUCGGUUUAACUUUAGCUUUACCAGGCAAUGUAGGCAUAUACCCAUUAAGUUCAAUGGAACUUACUCUCAGCAAAGGUUGUUUUGGAUUGUAGUGUAAACCAUAUUAGAAUACAAAUGAUAGGGGAAGUCACACCAAAGAAGUAUACUCUGUUCUUCAAGUCUGGCGUCACAUUCCUAUGUGGACACAACCCCACCAAUGAUGUCAAAUCUGGGUCUAAUUUAGACGCACAUUGGCAAUCUUUUUAUUAUUAUCAUCAUCAUCAUCCCUUCUCCACAAUUGCAAAAUCCAGCGCAUCCACCAUGUGCACGGGCAUCACCACCAACAUAUUAUUAUUACUGUUAUACUAUUAUUAUUAGAUC
rnacentral:lncRNA from 1 species